UGUGGUGAUCCUCACUACCAAUCACAGUGACGGUCACUACCUAAGUCCUACCACAUAGCUCAAUACCAACUGUGGUGACGGUCACUACCAAAGUCCUUCACUACAUUCAACCUCCGCCAUGUCUCUAUAGUACUGUCCUAAGUCCUUCAUCACAGUGUGCAUGCAGUGGUACCUCUCACUUAACUUACUGUUCCCUGUACCUUCUCAUGUGUGAGGUCACAAGCUCCAUUAAUUAUUAUUUUAUAGAUAAUUAUAGGCAUGCAGCAUGCAAUGUGAUACUUUAAUAUUUCAUGGUGAAAGUCACAAGUUGUCAUUUUUACGGUCUAUCCUGCUACCGUCGAAGACCAAGUCAGAAGAAUACAACGGACUAUAAAUAUUCUAUAUCAGUGCAUGACGACUGUUUGGUCGGCUACUUACUAUAAUUAUAAUUAUACGAUAAUGUAAUGGUGUCUUUUUAAUAUCCACCACUGACUGUAAACUUGAAACAACAUGAAGUUUACCUAACACACUUGCGGUACACAAUUUUAAUAUUGUUCUUGUAUAGCUACAAUUGCUCCUCCCCUAACAAUGAUGACAAACUGGGACAUAAAUAAUACGACCACUCCCCACAGGUACAGACGUAAGCUUUGGUUGUAACUUUAAGGCAAUCAGCAUCAAUAAUAAUUAUGCCGUUAAAUCUAAGGGAGUGACAAACUCAGGCAGAUGCUUGAUGGAUCUAGUUUGCUGACUAAAUAUAAAGGCUGCAAAGAGGCCCCAUGGUGCCCUGAUAUCUCACUAAGCUUUUUUGCCUGAGCAGCAUUCCAUAUUCUGCAAUAAAAGAGAAGCAUGAGAUUAUUAAUCCAUAGACGUAUAAUGUUACUGCUAGCUUGAACAGUUACAAUGGCAUAUCUGCAUUCAUAUUAAGGCCAGUACACAAUAAUAAAAGAUUUUACCAAACAAAAUAAUUAACAAUUGAUUCACACACGUAUUUACAAAUACAAUUACUAGUUGAAGCGAUGUAUUAAUUGUGUAACAUCUUUGAAAAGAGGUUUCUGUACCUGGUCGAUCAACACGCAACACGACUUACUGCUAACCCGUACCAGGUAGAUCUAGAUUUAGUGGUCUAUUUUACAGAAACUGAGUCACCAAGACAUAGUCAACACGCAACCCGGCUUACUGUUAACCAUAAUUGCCUCAGUAAAACAGUUCAUGGAAUGCUUUUACUAUAAGAUGUUACACGACAUCAACAUGCUCCAUAUCUAAGCUACAUGAUUCAACACUAUUCAUCCACACACUACUAUUCCUUAUCCUUUGGUAGCAGCAAUAAUUAUAAGACUGCCAAAUGCCUUUCCUUGUCACUGAAUUGAACUGUAAUAGGAAGAUCUAGUUAGCUUGCUAGCUCCUUCCAUGGCCAUAUCCAUAUCUUCACUUGCGCGCUCUUGUUUGUUGAAUAGACCUAUGACCAAAUAAGGGCACGUGCAAUUAUGCAGCUGCAGAUUUGCAGCUGCACACAUCAACAAAAAUUUAUUUGCUGGAGUUUUUAAGGAAGCAGACAAGUUGAGCUUUUAGAGAACGCUUUGAGAGUUGUUUGACAAAACUGUGUAACUAGAACUGAAUUUCUCCUGAAGGACAAGCAAAGCGCAAGUAAACACUUCAUUAGGGCUUAAACAAGGGGAGACCAAAGCCCAUUGCCCUAAGCUUCAUUCAGCAUGCACAACACAAGAUAUGAAGUAAAAAAAAACGUGUGGAGCAACCAUACUACUGGACACCCUAAGUAUAGACAUAAAUCAAGGAGGAGGGAGGAGGUUGGGAUGUAAAGACAGCCAAGAACUGAUGAUCAACUCAAGCCAUUAGACACUGUCAUUAUUAUACUCUGUUAGGCUAGUAAGCAUAAUGCUUGUUAUUAUUUUCUGUGCACAUUUUCAGAAUUUUUGUAUAGUGAUUUUUACUAGUUCUGGUGAUGUUCACUACCUAAAUGUAGUGAUCGUCACUACUUAAAUGUAGUGAUUUGAAAAAGUGGUGAGGGUCACCAGUCGAUUUGCGGUGACUAUUGUGGCAGCCGUUUCACUACCUUUUGGUGGUGACGGUCACUUUCCAGUUUUUACAG